GACGGAAGGUGCAAGCGUUGCUCGGAAUCACUGGGCGUAAAGCGCGUGUAGGCGGCCCUGCAAGUCGGAUGUGAAAUCCCACGGCUCAACCGUGGAAGUGCAUUCGAAACUGCAGGGCUAGAGUCCUGGAGAGGAAGGUGGAAUGCUUGGUGUAGAGGUGAAAUUCGUAGAUAUCAAGCGGAACACCGGUGGCGAAGGCGGCCUUCUGGACAGUGACUGACGCUGAGGCGCGAAAGCGUGGGGAGCGAACGGG
rnacentral:rRNA from 1 species